UGAGAAUAUAGAUCUCCGACCACUGACCAAACUCCAUUCCAAGCAACUACCUAGUUAUGCUUCUCCCCAGGCUCUGACAUUCAGUGCUUGGAGCUGCAGGGAAGAUUUGCGAACCAGCUUUUCAUGCCUGAGCAGCUGUGCGCCUUUGAAGAGUGGAUCUGGGGGGGCCGUUUUUUGUGGCUAUGGAAGAGGAUAACCUUCUGAUCACCAGUAACCAACCAGUUGUUGAAGAGCAGCCCUGCUAGAUAAAAAGAAAAAGAAAACAACUGGCAGCCAUAAGAUGGAAUUCCGCCGCCCCCCUACACUCCAUUUCGAUGCAAGGUCAACUUGAAAAAGGUUGCAUGGAGGCCCGAGUGGUAGAUUUAAAUCUUCUACCUCUUCUAAUUAAUCAUGCAGGUGUAAAUGAGCUACCCAAACAACUUGGAAAAAAGCCCAUGUCACCAAAAGCUGCCGAGCCAUCUUGAAUGAAAGAGCAUGUUAGUAGCAUAGCAUUUUGAACAUUCACCACUUGAUUCUCCCAGAAACCAUCCUUAGCUAAUGCCCCGUUCUGCCAUAAAAUAAUUAAAUUAUAUUACAACCAUAAAGUGCAUAAUUUAAGUCAACCAAGCAUUUCAACAAAUUGGAAUAUGGUGGCAAGCUGAAGCCAUGAACCUUUAUAAAUCAAUCAUCAACUGAUAAACACAGCAAUGAUUAACUCCCAGAACUGGUGUCCCCAAAGUUGGUUUAUUGAAAACAUGCUGAGGGCGGAUGAUAUUGGGUAAGUUAAUUGCGGGAGGGGGCAUAAACCUAGCAUGUGUUUAACGUGAUGUGGGGGGGGGAGAGACAGGUGUAUAUUCCUGCAUUGCAAGUUAUUCUACUUGGAACACUAGCACAACAGGCAGAGGUAAGAGAUUAUUUAAAUACAGUGGACGCUUGGGUUGCGAACGUGAUCCGUGCGGGAGGCACAUUCGCAACCUGCAGCAUGAGCAACCUGCAGUGGUGCAUCUGUGCACGCGCGGGUCACCAUUCGGCGCUUCUGCGCAUGUGCAAAGCGCGAUUUAGUGCUUCCACACAUGCGCGAGCACCGAAACCCAGAAGUAACCUGUUCCGGUACUUCUGGGUUCAGCACAGUGCGGAACAAGAAUGCGCAACCUGAAGCAUCUGUAACCCGAGGUAUGACUGUAUGUAGUCUGAAGCAACUAUACCAUACAAAUAUUCUAAAUGUGAUUGUCUUCCCUUAGGGCAUGCCAGCACAUGACUCAUUCUGAAGAUGAUGUGUUAGAAUGAAAUCCUCACACUCUGUAUCGGUAUGGGAUGCGCAGCUGAUGUAGGCCACAGAAUUUGGUUCCUGAGUCUUAAGAGCAAAGGAUUACCUGAUCUUUCUAGGGAUGUGCCCUGUAUUUUUGGAUUUUACACUAUACCAAAAGCACUAAAGAGCAGGAAGGCAUCAACAAGAGAUAUGUCAUGGAAUCAGGCCAUGGAAAGGGAAUUCAUUUAAAGAGACAGCAACAUAGGGUUUUUCAUUAUUUGAAUGAAGGCUUUGGUUCAAAAUUUGGGGUGCAUGGGUGGAUAACACAUUUGCCCUGAGGACUCACUCAUGAAGCCUCUGGCAGCCUUGCACAAAAGCUGCUGUCAUGGGAAUGUCACUAAACAGAAGAAGUAAGUUUAGAUCUACUCCCAUGUGGUUUGGGUUCUCGUCCCCGUCAGCUGAAACUUUCUAAAAGCUGAGAAUUCAGCCACGUCCAUUAUACAAGCAAUGGUAGCUUAAUAACUUUAGGGGAAAGAGAGGAUGCUUGUUUCAGCAAGCAGUUCCAAGGGGGUUCUGGGAGAUUGAGACAAAAUGGAUGAGUAGCUUCUCCACAGUUCCAGGAACUUCAAACAUCUGGAAGAAUCUGAAGGCCAAACGGGUUAUUGUGAUAUGUUGGCUUCAGAGAAUGUUUGCCCAGAAAUUACCGGACAAUAAAGGAGCAAAGAAAACUUCCUGCUAAUCAGGUUUGAAAACGCAAGAGUGCUAAUCCUCACCAAAAAAAAGCACCAAGCUUGACUCUUCUUUGAGAAGUUUAAACCUGUUAACAUGUUUUCAAAGACAAUGAAUCUGGGUGCUGUUUUCUCCUAUGGGGAGGGGGAUUUGCGAGGGAACCCCUCCAAGUGUUUCCACAUGUAGCAUUAAAAUGCAAAACAUUCCCAUGCACUAAAUAUUUGGGUGCAUGUGUGAAUGUUGCUGAUGUGGGUGGAGAAUGAAUUUUAGAACUGGAGGUACAUUCUAACCAAUCAAGAUUUUACUUUCACAUUUCAGAUUCUGGGAGCUUUUUAGUGACACGCACGGAAGUUAAGAUGUACAACUUAAGGCAACCAUUUGCGCAAUUUGCUUGGUUAAACUCUGGUGACACUUGAAGGAGGGGAAAAACACCCAGUAAUACUUUUUUCCUCCCCAAACAGGCUGAUGGGUCAAAAUUAAAAGUCCUAGUAGGAACCAGUACCUGGUGUUUCCUGAAGGAAAUCAUAGCCAUUCAUGUUCCAGAUGGACCUGGUGGUUCUCCAAAAAAAAAAUAAAGGAGUUAGAGGAGCCUCACACCCAGAGAGGGACUUCUGCCCAGCAAGCAGCAUAGGGGUUGUGAGCAGGGAGCCAUGUUCUGUCUGACUAAGCAAAAGAGAAGCCAGCUGGAGUGUGGGCUGCAGGGCUAAGAUAAUCCCCUUAAUGCCAGUCACAAUGAGAUUUGAUUGGAGGCAGGAGUUCAUGCUGUGGAGUUUAAGGAGUUCUGCUGAGUGCUGGAACAGGUUUCGUAAGGUAGCCCCAAGAGCUGUGCUACUGUGGCCACGUCCCAUGACCAUCCUGUGCUGAACAGACCACUUUCCCCAAGUGGCUGCUGAAUAUGCCCUCGCAUCUGCAUGUGAUUCAACUGGAGUCAAAGGGUUUAAAUGAAAUAAAUGUGUAGCAUGUCUGCAGCACUUUAACUCAGGGAACAUCCACACCAAACUUUUAAAGCAUAGGGUUUCUCCCAAAGAAUCUUGGGAACUGUAGUCUGUUAAGGGUGCUGGAAAUUUACCUAGCUCUGUGAGAGGUAAAUUUCAGUUCCCUGGAUUCUUGUGGGUGGAGGCAUGUGAUUUAAAUGUCUGACUGCGUUGCCUCUGCCACUCUGGGCAGUUCUACACACACACACACACACACACACACACACACACACACACACACACACUCACACACACACACUAAAACAAACAUUGGGGGGGGGGGAACCUUCCCCACACAGGGCGGCAUUCAGAUGUCUUCUAAUGGUUGUACAGUUACUUAUCUCCUUGGCUCGGGGGUCGCAUAUCUCCAUACCCUCCAGCAUUUCUCCAAUUACAACAGGGGCAUCCUAAGGAAAGUGGGACAUUCUGGGAUCAAAUCAGAAACCUGGAUGGCUUCUGUAAAUCUAGGACGGUUCCUGGAAAAUAGGGACACUUGGAGGGUCUGGUACUGCUGUUUGUGUGUUCAAUAGGUGUACAAAGCCACUCACUGUUCUCACAUAAAGGCUUCUCACAUGCUGGCAGAAUGAGCCGCAGGUGGGGAAGCUAGACUGUGCAGCUGAAUUGCACUGAUGCAAAAGGAUGCUCUGUUGUGAAAAUGGCUUAACUGGUGUGUCUUUUAAGGGUUGGGCUGAUUUCAAACCAGCCCUUUAUCCACAUCCCUAAGGUUUCCCAGGGCACACUGUAUAUUACUGUUCCUAGUUUCCCAUUCCAAAUGCUUUUUUGGCAAGGGGAAGAAUUUGACUUGUGUCUCUCGGGCAUCAGCACUUCCAGUUUUUGAUGAUAUACAACAAUACCAAGAGCAGAUAAGCUAGUUCCUUUCUCACUUACUGGAAAGCUUUCGGCUGUCAUGGAGAUGGAGAUAUGCCGCCCAAACCAAACACUUCUUUACAGGUGUACAUGCAGGUGGGGUGUCAUGGAGGUUUUUAAGGAAAGGCUGGAUGGCCAUCAGUCAUGCAUGCUUUAGUUGUUCUUUCUGCAUCACAGGGGAUUGGACUAGAUGACCUUCCAAUGCUACAAUUUGAUGAUUCUAUGAAGACAAAAAGAACCCUCUUUUUGCACAAGCAAGCUGCAGUCUACAGAAAGGGGAAGUGAACCCUGUCGGAGCAUAAUGAUUUGGAAAUGAAUAAAAUGUGGCUUCUGUGGGAUGAAUCGAUAGUCCAGAAGGUGUGAAAAAGGAAUUAUUUGACUGAAAACACUAACAGUGCAAACUUACGCAUACCUAGUCAAAAGUCAAUCCAAUUGAGUUCAGUGGGGAAUGCUCCUUGUAGGUAUAUGGGUCUAUGACAGCAGCCCAACACCACAAUUCUUUAAUGGGCUGCUCCCAGGUAGAUACAGUAUAUGCACAUUCCAUGAAGCCACGUUGCACUAAAUGGGACUCACUUCACAGUAGACAUGCAUAGGAUUUUACCGCAAGGCUGCAAUGCUUUGCACACUUACCCAGGAGUAAGCCCUAUUAAACACACGCAACUCACUCACAAAGAGGUAAAUCCCACUGAACAUAACGUGGCUUCCUUCUGAGUAAACGUGUUUAGAAUUGCAGACAGAAAGCUCUACUGGUGCCAGUAUGAGCUAUGCAAAUACAAUUACAUUAUUACUACAGUGGUACCUCUACUUACGAAUUUAAUGCAUUCCGAACGCACAUUUGUAAGUCGAAAAAAUUUGUAAGUCAAAUUCCAUAGGAAUGCAUUGGGAGAAAAAAUUCGUAAGUCGAAGCAACCCUAUCUAGAAAUUCGUAAGUAGAAAGAAUCCUAUCUAAACCGCAUCCAAGAUGGCGGACGGAGCUCCAUUCGUAAGUAGAAACAUUCGUAAGUAGAGUUAUUCAUAAGUAGAGGUACCACUGUAUUAGAGUUACUAUUUUGCAGUUACCCAUGAGUGCGCUUUAUUGUAUUGUGAUUUUAUGUUUUACUGUUGCAGAAAGAUGGGGUAGAAAUCCAUGGAUAUUAGCAAGCAUGGUCCUUGCCAAAUGUACACAAAUAUUCAUUUAACGUGCCUAUUGGCAGGAAUAUGUUUUAAGUUAAAUGCUACUAAAAAACAGCUGCUAGGCGUCCCCUCUCAGCUUCCUUUUGUUGACUUCUCAUCGCCCCCUAGUGACAAGUCGUUGAAUCCACGUAACUUUCCCUUUUCCAUGAAAGGCGACUUCAAACUGCAGGUACAGUACAGAGCCGUCCCACAGUUGCCUCUUAUGAUAAACUCAGGGAUGUACAAAAUAUGCACAAAGCAUGUCAGAUGUGAAGACGGUCUGCAAGCAUGUGAGACUCAAUAUAGCCCUGAGUCUUUCCUGCUUGUUGAUUACAUUUUUAUGGAGAACAUAGCAGGUUUUUAAAAAGUAAAUCCUUAAUAGCAUGCGUGUUAUAAGUGUGUGGUUUUCUUCCACCGGAUGCCCGUGUACAAAAAGGUGAGCAGGUACAACUGCUCUCAAAUCACACUGGGAAUAAUGUCUUUUCUUACAUAGGUGACUGCUUUUUCCUGUAUAUAUUUUUUUACAGCUUUGAUUUCUCUCUCUCUCUUGGUGUACCGUCUGCUGUUAUGGCUCUCAAAAGCUCAAGAGAAUCAGUGCCGUCACCAACAAGGCCAGCCUCACCUAUGAGGCAGGGUGAGGUAGCCACCUCAUGAGGUGGAAGCUUAAAGGGAAAUGCUCCUGCGGGAGCCCCACCUGCCCUGACAACUUUGCUGCCAGUAGAGAAGUGGAAGAUAUCGCUGGAAUGGUCCAUCAUUGGUGCUGCUCUAUAGGCACCACAGCACAACCCAGGUCUCUUGUUGACAUUGGCUGAGCUAAGUGGUGUGUAUCCACGCCACUCCAGGAAGCCAAAUGUUUGGCUGCCUUGUGCUCUGCCUCUGCUUCUCCAUCCUCCUAAUUCCUUGGAGGUUACCUACUGUGGGACACACCCAAUCCCCAACCUCAGGUUUUCCGGGCGGAAGGUGGGUGAAAGCUCUUCACAACAAUCACCCUUAAAUCCUCAGAAAAUGAUCUUUAUAAACUUUGGGAGCCAGUAUGGAGUCCUGGAGAAUACUGGACUGGAACUGGGGCGACCCAGAAUCAAAUCCACACCCACAAAGCUCCCUGAUUGACAUUAAUCCCAUCACUGUAGCUCAUCAUAAUUUCAUAAAGUUGCUGUGGAAAUUAAAAGGGAGAGGGGUAAGAAUCAUGCAUACUACCUUGACCUCCUUGAAGGAAAGAUCAUUACCAGCUUGUCAUUAUAAGAACUAGUUUGUAACUUAAAAAUUAGUGCCUGGUUUUGCUUAUUUCCUCCUCCUUCCUCCUCCUUUUUCCUUUUGUUUGGUGUCUUUUAGAUUGUAAAACUUGUAAGCAGUAACUAUUUUGUUUUCAUUGAUCUUAUGUUAAGGCCGCUAUUCUGGGUGCUCUGUGGUUGAAGCGUUUCUCUACUCAAGCCUGGAAAUAAAGAAAAGUGUGCAUCUGUGGGGAAAACAUGCAAGAGUCGAUUUUGAAAUACCUAGAGUUUUUUCCUGCACUUUCCCUUAAGAGAUAUUCUAUGUUAGGGGUAGCCUGGCUAGGCAUCAGAGGAUUAGUUUCUCAGGCCCUCACAUUUCAGGACCCAUUUGGGUGUGUUGAAUUUUUCAACUUUCAAAUUCCCCAAAUGACGGGUGCUAAAAAGUUGUAGCAUGACUUGGUAAUUCAAAAGAUAUUUUGGUUAAAUUGAUAUAGUUUAGUUAUAUUAAAAUUUGACUAAAAUUACAUAGAAAUCGUUAAAAAUGAUUGUGAAGUACUGGCAGUUGUAUUAGAUUUUAUUUCUUUAUUUCUUUAGCAGUACCUGACAUUUUCAGAAGGUAAAACUGAAAUUCUUUGUUUUCCGAAAGUAGCUUAUGCGCCUCUUCAUCAAACCUAGACUUACCAAGCUAAAUGCUGUCCAGUUACAAAAAUAAUAUCGGAAUUGAAUUCCUCACACCCCAAACCGUAUUUUUAUGACCAGUUUCAAUCCAUCUGAUAAAAGGGAUCUUCACCUAGAUUACGGUCUGGUAUGAGCUGCAAACACAGGAUGGUGUCUGCAGACAUAGGAAAAUAUGCUGAGAGAAUAUUAUGCAUGUGUUGUAUUUGAAACAAACCCAUCAGCUCCACAAUGUUGGUAGAUGCUUUUCUAGCUCAUGGAUAUAUGACUGAGGCAUAGAUGGGUGUUUAUAUUUUAUCACCACUGAACAUAUUUUCCAUGCACACAAAUAUGGGGAUCGCCAACUCGGUUCUGCAAAAUGCAAUGGGGUUUUUGGCCCGAGGCCCUGAGAACACUUCAUGCCACUCCAGAAAGUAUCCCUAACUGAGUAUAUCUACUGAAAGGUUUCUACCUUUAUGCUGACAGAACAUACAAAGGAGUCUUAGAGCUAUCUCACUAGAUCCCUACAAAAACUUAGAUGCCUCCCAUUCAUGGACUAAACUUGCGUCAACUGAAAUAUCUCUUGGUGUUGUUAUGUUCAGCCAACCACCUUGCAAAGCUUUGUGAGCGAUGGAUCUGGGUCAAGUCCUUCUGUUAAGUAUGAAUUUCAACUCUUUCCUUGGAAACCUCAUUUCCCUCUCACGCAUCAGACAGCACAAAGAAGGAGGGGAGAGCCUCCUUUUCCGGUUUGCACGUUAAAGACUAUUCCCAGGCCAGCCAUUUGAAUCAGGACAUUUCAGCCUGAAAACUUUUGCUCGCACACAUAAUCGAAAAGAGAGAAAGGUUGUAUUCUUUUUUUUUUUUUUAGGAAGGCUAAUUUCUGACUGAAGAUGUCACAAUUACCUGAGAGGAAGCACAUUACGAUGAAACACACCACAUGGUUAAAGCGGUUAGGGCUGGGGGGUGGGGAUAAGGCUCCCCAGAUCGACAAUACUAGUGCCCUCAACAUACACAACGCUGCCCAUAAUCUCUCAGCUUCUCUUAAGGCUCUCUCUCAUCAGCAACAAGGAAAGAAUAUGGUAACCUGUUGUACUCACCAUAUGGCGCCUCCAUCUUAGCACUUAGCUGUGUGAUUACAUUGACCAUUUCUCAUCAGUAUAAUUCUGGAGAAAAUGGAGAAAGUGUAAAAUUACAAGAAAAGCUGGGUGAAGGAGGCGGGAGGAAGGGUGAGCAAACCUGCCUCCUCUGUUAUCUUAUUGAUUCGCUUAAUCAGGCCUAAUGUGGGUGGAGAUGUUAAAUAGUAACCAAGCUCAUAUGGAAACCAACCUGCAAGGUGCUUGUCGGCCACGGUAGCUAUAGUAACUGCUUCCAAGCUUGAAACUCAAACAUGACUUUAUGGGCACACUUUUGGGACUCCCACUGACACCUGGUUUCAGGCCUUGGGUGACCCCAUUGCCGGGCGAUUGCUUUCCUCCUUAUUCCUCCAAGACAAGAGGCUAAAGGGAAGUAGCCCUCCGGAGCCUGGCAAGGCAGAGAACUCUCCUCUGGGGGCUGUGAACUAGGUGAGUUUCACAGCUGCAGAGACGCGGGGCAUUUUAUUGCCCUCGCCAAGCAAACACAGAGAACAAAGGCUUUGUGUCUGUGCGUGCACACGCUUGAGGCCCUGCACGCCAUCAUUGCUGAUGUGCCGUGCGUACAUACCCAGGUGUACAUUUGAUUAUAUGUAAAAGCAUAGAGGGUUGUGUAUUCAUUCAUGCCAGCGUACAUGUACAGUGUAAAUAGAUAGAUCUGGGUGUGUAGUAAAUAAAUGUGUGUGGUUGAGGACGGGCAUUUCUAAGGACUGGGGCUUAUGUGUACAUUCGAUAUAUAUUUAUUUAAAAGUGUAUAGUGACCUUUACUCAGGCUCCCAGAGGAGUUUAUAUCGAAACAGGGUAAUAAAAAAAAUGCAAAUGACACAAAUGUACCCAAUAAUAAUAAUAAUACCCCCCCCCCCAGUAAACCAUAGCAGCAGGGAAAAUAAUUUAAACGCGAGAAUAAAAAUGUCUUUGCGUGGUGCCAAAAGGAUAGCAAUGUUGGUGCCAAGCAAAUAAAACAAAAUUAAAAACUCAUACAAAAGUUAAAUCCCAAAUGAAGGCCAGAUGGUUAGGGCAGUUCCAUGUAUUGCUGUAUGUUCCAUACUUGACAAGUGGUGUUCCUGUUGUUAAAUUAUUCCCACUGGAAGAUUCAAUUUCAGUAUACUGCUUUUAUUUUGGGGGGUGCAUGAAAAAUACGACAUAGAUGACAAUUUGUUCUACAGGGCAAACAAGUUUGGGUUAGGGUGGCCAUUUAGUGUGUCACCAAAAAAGAGGAAAUGCAUCAACACCCCCCCCCCAAUGACAAAGAUUUGCAUAAAAUUUGUAUAUGCUGAUCUAUAAAAUGUGUAUAUAAUAGUGGGGAGUGCCUGGCACUGCCUAGGAAUGACUAGAAACCAUAAAAAUUUGUGAUUUUUUUUUAAUGGAUAGGGUAAUUUAUGAGUUUGAACCCAUCACUCAAAGCAUUGGGCAAAGUCAUGCCAAAGUCAUGUUUCGGUUCACCAUCUUGAUUCAAAAUGGUGCCUGGCAUACAAACAUCAAUGGAGACAGCUGUCCCCACCUCAGGAACCCUUCUGCUGAGUUUGACGAUAAUAUCUCUGGAGGCAGCUGAACCUACGCCAUGUUUCAGUUUGCCAUCUUGAUUCAAAAUGGUACUCGACAUCCAAAUGUCAACAGUGACUGCCACCCACAACUUGGGAACCCUCAUGCCGAGUUUGGCGGUGAUAUCUUGUGAGGUGACAAAAUUUUGGGAGAACGGACAGGUGGACCACAUACCAAAAUAUAUAGUAGAUAAGAAUUUGGAAAUCAUUACUACAAAUCAAAUAUAAGUGCAAUAUAUCUUGCCAUAGUUGGGAAGUCUGAAAUGUAGAAUUAUAGAUUAUGGAAUAAUUAAAUUAAGAUUUGGUUUUUAGAUGGAGAAUAAACUGCUAAAAAUGUAUUAUAAUGAAAUUCAGAAAGAUUGUAACGAGGGAAGUCAUUUGAGAUGUGAAAGAAAAUAAGAGUUAUACAGUGGAACCUCGGUUUAUGACUACCUCCGUUUACGAAAACCUUAGAAUGCUGCGGACCCGGAAGUGUUUAGAAUGCUGCGGACCAGGAGUGAUCUGCGCAGCAUGCGCAUGUGCAGAAGCGCUCUAUCGGCACUUCGCGCACACGCCGAAGCGUGCCGUCGGCGAGCGAAUGCCUCGGCGAGCGAACGCCUCUGCGGAACAGAUUGUGUUUGCAAACUGAGACUUAGGAUAGAAGUCCAGGCAUCUGAUGAAGUGGAUUCCAGUCCAUGAAAACUUAUGCUACAACAAAUCUGUUUGGCUACAGUUUGCCCAGACUACAUAUUUUGCCCUUUGCGGAAAGGAUUCAGGCACAGGCCAGAAAUUUAGGUUUGCACAAUUGAAGUGGAUUAAUUUGCACUGUCACCUUAGUAGAGCAGAUCCAGGGAAAAGCACUGGAAAGUGUGAAGUGGGGAAAAAGAAGAAGACUAUAUGCAACCUGGGAUGAAUGGGAAGACUAUAUGCAACCUGGGAUGAAUUCUCAGUCAGGACCAGACAUAGUCUAACCUCUGCAUAAACUUUGUGCAAGAAAACCAGGAUAAAUGCUCAAUAAAACCCCAAGGAAGCCCUAUAUGGUGCAAAUAUGUUCAUUUUUGUUUUUUAAAAGGUACUUGUGGUUUGUUAGGCCACCACAGGGAAUGACAGAGGCCAUGAGAUGUUAAGAAAGUUGUUCCUGAGUCAUGAAGGGAAGCUGUUUGUCUAAGAAACAGAUCCUCAUCAUAGGGAUUUUAAAACAUUCCAUGUCCCUGUGUGGACCAUUUCUUUUUCUUCUUCCAGCCAUCUAGCUGAGCUGGAACUGACAGCCUUUCCUGUGCUGGAUGGAACAGUGGAAAAAACAGGCAAUGCUUUCAGAAAAGAAGCCAGGGUUUAGACAGUGCAUUUGGAUUGUUUGCAGACAGUGGUGAGUGGCAAUAUAAAGGACCAGGGUUGGCAACGAUGGAGGUAGAAACAUUUCUCUUUAGUAUGAACCAGCAGCCCUAGAACAGGGUUGGGGAACCUGUAACUCAGCUUCAACUCCCAGUCUAGGGACUGUGGGAGUGGUAGUUUAACAGCAUCUGGAGGGUCAAAGGUUCACCACCCCUGCCCUAGAGCAUGGCUGAAGAUGAUCUCUUGGGAAGGUUCCUUGUUCCUGAACCUCUGCUCCAUCCCUCUUGCUGAAAUAUGCACCGUUAUGUGGGUGCAGCAUCACGGUUAAAAACGGACUAUUGUCCCUGGUCCACAUCAAAUCUCGCCCACCAAUUCUCUUGGCCUGCCUUAGGCAAAACAUCUUCCAUUCUCAGCUCACAAACCUUCAGUAUUGGGGGAGGUGGAGAUUGUUGGCCUCAUUUAGGUUUGUUGUAGUGAUUCUUGAAACAAGGGAUGUGAAGCAUCUAAAGAAAGUGGCUAUUAAAAACAAAUACAAUUUGUUACCCAAGCAACAACCACUGUUUGUGGUUUUUUUUACAGGACAAUACUGUACCUGGGUAUAAUGGCUGCAGACAGGACCGCUGCAUUUGGAAGGGCAGCUGGGCUUGCAUUCAUGAGGAUAAGGGAAGGAGUAAUGGCGCUUCUCAUAAUACCAAGAUUUCACAAGGUCCAAAGCUGAACGGUACCUAUAGAGGGCCACACACAAUGCAAAUGUCAAGAAACCUGCCUAUCCAAGCUCAUAUGCCCCAGGCCCAAACUAUGUGAUGCAGGAAGGUGAGGAGAUGCCUCCAACCGUCAAGGCUUCCCACCUCUUCCUGGUAAGCACAGAGUUGAAAAGGAUGCAUGGCUGACCUGCUGGGAGCCUGAAGGGCCCUGCCCUGCUUCUUUCCACCUGGCUUGGAGCGGGGCCUGACAGGCUCAAUAACGAGUGCUGCUGCUGCUGCUGGGCAGAGAGGGCUCUGUUUUUGUUUUCUUAAUUGCUUUUAUUUUUUCUAUAUGUCAUUUUAAAUUGUGAUUGACAUUAAUGCUGUAUUCCUAGUUUUAGAUUUUAUGAUUUAUGUGGAAAUUGUUUUCCAUUGGGUUGUGUACUUUUUGAUGUGUUUUCUUGAUGGUUUAUGACUUUUGUUAUGUUGGUAAUUAUGUAAAUCUUUCAUAUUGUAAGCUUCCUUGAGCAUUGUUUUAACUAUUGAAAAGCGGCCCACAAAUAAAAUGAUGAAGAAUGAAUGAUGAAUGACACAGAAUCAUAGAAGUCAUGUAGAGUUGGAAGGGACCCCAAGGGUCAUCUAGUCCAGGCAUCCCCAAACUUCGGCCCUCCAGAUGUUUUGGACUACAAUUCCCAUCAUCCCUGACCACUGGUCCUGUUAGCUAGGGAUCAUGGGAGUUGUAGGCCAAAACAUCUGGAGGGCCGCAGUUUGGGGAUGCCUGAUUUAGUCUAACCCCCUGCAAUGCACAUGUCAAACACGAUGCCUUCUGAAGAAGUGUGCAUGCACACGAAAGCUUAUACCAAGAACAAACUUAAUUGGUCUCUAAGGUGCUACCAGACCAACACGGCUACCUACCUGAAUCUAGAAUGAUGUAUUUGUGUUAGUGUCUCCCCUCUCAUUGCAAGAGGCAGCCACUGAAGUGGGGGGAAAGGGCAGAGAAAUCUAGGCAUUGAUGUUAUGUGACAUGUAUUUAUCAAAAACACAGGGGGACACACAACACAUUGGUGUGUCCAGUCAUCUCUGGUAACAUAUACCUUGGACCUAAAUGACUUUUUUUUUAACCAUUGCUGUGAUAAAACAGCACUUCAAUAUGCAUAAUCAAUGUUAAGGGAAACUAGUGCAAAAAAGGGGUUCCUCAAACUUGCCUUCCUCCACACACUCCCCAAGCCUCCCUCAAAUCCACUCUGGCACGAGGAGAGGGGAGAUCACUCUGUCAGGCAAGUAGAAAUUAUUGCACAGGUGGAUCAACCUCCUUAGUGUUACACUGAAUUCCACCCGUAAUAUUUUAGUGAGACGGAGGCAACACUGAGGUUGAUAGCAUGCUUGCUUCCUUUGUAGCACACAUGCCCAUUUUUUUUACAUUGUGCACUGUUUAGAAAUCCCUUAAAACGAAUCCCACUUGAUCCAUGAAAAGAAGGGCAGGACAAAAGACUCUCUCAGCAGUUCAGAGGUGUACUUGCGGUGAUGUGUAUUUGCACAAUCAGUGCAACAUCUUUAACGCAACAUCUACAGACCUAGCAUUCCCAGAAGACACUGCUUACCUGCCCGAGUGAAUGGCGAGGUUUUGACCAAUGAAUUUCAUCAGUUGUGGAGGUCCAUGUUCCCAUGCACACUGUCUUGCCCAGGCUUCUGCAGAUCUGGCAAGCCUCUCAUCCCACACCUAGUGGAUAUGAGGCAGGGGGUGGGAGGAAGAAAAAACACACAACAGACAGUGAGUUACUGCUGCUCAAGGUAAAACAAAGUGCUCAGUCAAUCUAUCAAACAUUUAACAAGAUAUAUGCAAUGCAAGCAAGGGAAAUAUAAGCGUCAAUGUUUUUCCUUGGAAGAUAUAGUGUCAUAGACUAGUAGAUUCAGAAAUAGCAAGUCAAACAGGACAGCUUCAUUUCAGACUAGGAAAGUACCUGGCUAAUGGUACUUCACCUUAAAAUCGUCCAUGUCAGUCUGACAAGCCCAACUUUCUGCCUGAUAUACUCACUUUCCAUGCAUAGGUGAUCUUCUCACAUGGAGGAGCAUUCAAACAUGCUUAGCCUCUGUUAGUAUUGUUGUUGUUUUAAUUUAUGCACUUUCAUAGACGUUCAAGGUACAGUAAUUUGCAACCGGACAAUGAAAACGAGUCAAAAUAGGGUUUUAAAGAAUACAAACAAACACCCAAGGCAAACUGUCUGAAGUCGUACAAUGCUAUAUGUGCACGUCAGUUCUUGAGCACUGCUUGAGUUGUCAGGUGGUCUGUUUAAAUCAGCCUGAUGAGGAUAUGGGGAAGGGGGGGGUCACAACUACAAGCUACACCCCCUGGGCAUGCAUGCCUGUGGCAGCAACACCGAGAAAGAGAGGCUAUGCACAGAAAUAUCAUGGACAGCAGGGAUUUAGUAAUCCGGGGUUGCAGGAAAUCGUAGACCCAUUACUUUGGGGGAAGGAGGGUUCCAGCAUGGUCCCCUAUGCAGAGGCAUACCUAGGAGUUGGCAAAACUGUCUCCGGAAAUCUGUCUCCAGCUAUCUGUGUAAAGCAGUGAGCUUAGACAAGUGCAGGGGGAUGAGAGGCAGGAGAAACGGCAAGGUGGUGUAAAGGUAGAUCGCUAGAGACCAUGGAGUUGCGACGUAUAUGUCUGUGAUGACGUGCCACCGCUGUCACAGCAAGAUCAAAUGUGGGAGAAGCUUCCCAUCCUCCUUGUACUGCAGCACAAAGGGGUGCAUUUUCUUCGCCCUUCCUUCUCUCCUUGCCCUCACUCCAGACACUUGGGAUGCAUAAAAGGUAGUAAUUUCUAAUGUGGCUAUUGCUGGUGCAGCUCCUUGCCAAGGCACCCUAGAGACGCCUCUGCCCCUAUAUCAGCACCCUAUGUCCCUUCAUGCACUAAUUAGAUUCAAGCGUGCUAGAGUUACAUGGAGUUUAUUUUUUAAAAUUGCUUUUAUAUAACACCUUUGUCUUCCAAGGAUCCCAAGGUGUUGUACAUGGUUCUCCUCUUUCCCUGGUCAUCCUCGCAACAACCCUGUGAGGUAGGUUAGGCUAUGAGAUGGUGACUGGCCUAAGGUCACCCAGUCAGAUUCAUGGCUGAGUGGGGAUUCGAACCCCGCUCUCCCAGCUCCUAGUCCAACAUUCUAACCGUUACGCCACAUUGGGACCCUGCACUAUGAACCCGGCUCCCAAAAAGUAGUGAUAUGCAAGUAGCUAAAGAAUGAGCCUAAUGCAGCAUUAUCUAAAACACGGAUGAUUUUCCCCUCAGGCAGUAUUGCAAUUUUGUGCUGGAACUGUUGCUAAGGGCAUUGCCAAGGACACUCUGGGCUAUUUGAAGACUCUGCUCUCUGCUGCCUCCUUCCCUUCCCCUCCUUUUUCCAGAGAAGAGCUUGAAAUGGGCUUCAUUGGAAGUUGCUUGAACCUCAAAAAGACAUAACCUCAUCCUACGUUCGCCGCUCAGCAGAACACCAAACAAAACACAAUCAAUAAUCUAGUGUGCCGCUUUAAACAAAUCCCUGUGGAAAAAUUGCUCUGCUUGAGUCCUAGAAAAGCCUUCUAAGAUGGUCCUUAAAGAAGCUGAGAUGACAUUUCCCAGACUACAUACCUUGAAGGCUGAGCCAAGAGCAGCUGAGAAGUGUUAGUUGCCGCUGCAGCAGUAAAUUCAGAGACUGACCUUUGCAAGCAACCUGCGCUCAGGGACAUGUGGCAGAGGGAUUUAACACAACCAAGCCCAAGGAGUCUUUGAUGGCAAUCUGACGCAGAAACCCGCAUCUGAUCUCUUCCCUUCGGGAACGUCCUCAAGUUUGAAAAGGGUCCAGCUGAGCAAUUUAUGGCCUUUCCCCUGUGUACACAUGGCUCCGUCUCUACCAAGUGUCUCUGCUUGUUGUGAACUUCGAGGUAGAGGAAGCUGCAAAGAGUGAGUAAAUGGAUGCCUGUGCCCUGAAAGUUGGGAGCAGUUUUCCUCCAGGGGCAGCAUGCAUUUAAUUGAGGAGAAUUUCUGCGCUUUGGGGAAGGGACCAGGCUCAUUCAGUGACAGAGUCUGUGAGCAAAAGCUCUCGGGUCCAGUCUCCAGCAUCUUCAGGUAGAGCUGGGAGAGGACCCUGCCUGUAACGGCACAGCCAUUCAGUGCGGAGAAUACUGAGCUAAAUGGACCAAUAGUAUGAUUUGGUAUAAGGCAGCUCCCUGUAUCCCUAGGGUUGUUGUCAGACUUAAGGCAGGAGAACGUGCAUAUCUCCAGCAGCGGCAGGUGACACAGGACAGAGUGGCAGCAGUGUCCUCCCCAGUGCCAGACCUUGGUGUCUCAAAUUUCAGAGGCGCCCCCUCCACCUUCCGUUGGACUUACUUCACAGUUGAGGCACCUGUUGCAGCACUCCAGAAGCUCCGCAACUGAACUGACUGCUUUCUGCUAGAUCUGCACUUGGUUGUCCCAGAAGUAGAGGUAUUGCAUUUCCUGGGACCUGGAAAGGUGUCACUGCUGAUCUGCCCCUUCCUUCAAAUGCUGCUGUUGCCAGCAUGCACAUUGCCAGGACUCCUACAGAGAAAUCCUUUUCAUUGCGCUAUGACAAUCUGUGCUCAUGGUGCUUGUGGGGUGGUCAUGUUGGUCCCGCUUUCAGUGCAGUUUCUGCUUGGAAAGAAAGAAAGAAAGAAAGAAAGAAAGA